rnacentral:lncRNA from 1 species
GUUAUCAAUGUUUUUAAAAAAUUAAUAUUAUCACCAUCAAAUUACAUUACCGACAUGUUUUUUUCUAGACUCUACAAAAGAGUUAUAGUGUCUGGACUUCUUAUGGAGGUAACAUGCAGACAUAGUCCAGUCUUUGAAAAGGAAGGCUACACAUUCUUUAAGAUAGUGGAUUAUAAAAAGUUAGAGAAUGGAGUGACUUUGGAAAGGAGCAAGAGACCACAGUACAGGUUGACAGAUUCUGGAAGAAGAAGGGAAUAAAGGGACUGAAGAAACGAGUCAUGGGCAUCUGACAGAUUGGAGUCAGGAUCAUUUACAUGCAUAUAUGGUAUGUAAUUAAAAUGUACAAUUUGGGCUGAAAGGAAAUUACGAAGUCGAGAACUUAUUAUCAGUGUAUAAAGUAACCCAUGUUUCUAAUGAAAGAAAAAUAUUUUAGUUGGAAGACUUAUUCAUUAUGGGAAGUUAAAGUAUUUAAAAUUUAAAACAGUUUUAGAUGGGAACGAUAAAACAUAUAUCCUUCCCUACUUUAAUGUAUUUUUGAGAUAUUAACCAAUGUUGUUGUUAUUUUGUUUUGUUUUGUUUUUGCUGUUGUCUCCUUCAUUGAGGUAGCUAAACUAUGAACUAGAUGUUCCUCAAGGAAGGGUUAUCAAAUCCUUGAAUUUUAAAAUUUCAAAUCUAAGAUCCAGACUUGAGAUAAAAUAAUUUGAAAAAUACCUGAUGGGUCAAAACCUAUUUUUCCUGCCCCCAAGACUGAAGAUUCUCUAGACUUGGAGAAAAGGAGAGAAGUCAGUGGAAAAGAAAAGAGCUCAGAUGCUGGGUACCUGAAAGAAGACCCGGGCUCAGCUUUCUCUUGGAUUUAUUCUAAAGUCAUGUGUGAUUGGAAGAUUGACUGGAAAGUGUGGACAAGUGUUAGCAAAAGGAAGUGGCACCCCAACUCCUCCAAGAAUCCACAUCUGAACCAUUGCAUCCCAAGGGAAGGUAAUAUAAUAGAUUGGGAAAAUAGGCUUUGGGGUCUGAUACACCUAGCAUCUACUUUAUUCUCCUGGCAAGUUACUCAACAGUUCCAAAUUUCAGUUUUUUCCCCUGUAAAAUUGGGAUAAUAGGCUGCCUCAUAGGGGAGGGAAACAAUGCAGCAUAGAGCACUUUAGCCAGCACCUGUCACG